UAGCCGUAAACGAUACUCGCUAGGUGUCGGCCACGGUGCGACCGUUGUCGGUGCCGUAGGGAAGCCGUGAAGCGAGCCACCUGGGAAGUACGGCCGCAAGGCUGAAACUUAAGGGAAUUGGCGGGGGAGCACAACAACGGGUGGAGCUUGCGGUUUAAUUGGAUUCAACGCCGGAAAUCUUACCGGGACCGACAGCAACAUGAAGGCCAGGCUGAAGACUUUGCCGGAUUAGCUGAGAGGAGGUGCAUGGCGUAGUCGUGU
rnacentral:rRNA from 1 species